UACGUAGGGCGCGAGCGUUGUCCGGAUUUAUUGGGCGUAAAGAGCUCGUAGGCGGCUCGUUGCGUCGGCUGUGAAAACCCGCAGCUCAACUGUGGGCUUGCAGCUGAUACGGGCGGGCUGGGAUUCGGUAGGGGAGACUGGAAUUCCUGGUGUAGCGGUGGAAAUGACGCAGAUAUCAGGAGGAACACCGGUGGCGAAGGCGGGUCACUGGUCCGGUACUGACGCUGAGGCGCGACAGCGUGGGGAGCAAACAGG
rnacentral:rRNA from 1 species